rnacentral:rRNA from 4 species
UAGGUGAAGUGGUUUACCCAUGGAGCUGAAGCCAGUCGCAGAUACCAGCUGGCUGCAACUGUUUAUUAAAAACACAGCACUGUGCAAACACGAAAGUGGACGUAUACGGUGUGACGCCUGCCCGGUGCUGGAAGGUUAAUUGAUGGGGUUAUCCGUAAGGAGAAGCUCUUGAUCGAAGCCCCAGUAAACGGCGGCCGUAACUAUAACGGUCCUAAGGUAGCGAAAUUCCUUGUCGGGUAAGUUCCGACCUGCACGAAUGGCGUAAUGAUGGCCAGGCUGUCUCCACCCGAGACUCAGUGAAAUUGAACUCGCUGUGAAGAUGCAGUGUACCCGCGGCAAGACGGAAAGACCCCGUGAACCUUUACUAUAGCUUGACACUGAACAUUGAGCCUUGAUGUGUAGGAUAGGUGGGAGGCUUUGAAGUGUGGACGCCAGUCUGCAUGGAGCCAACCUUGAAAUACCACCCUUUAAUGUUUGAUGUUCUAACGUUGCCCCGUUAUCCGGGGUGCGGACAGUGUCUGGUGGGUAGUUUGACUGGGGCGGUCUCCUCCCAAAGAGUAACGGAGGAGCACGAAGGUUGGCUAAGCAUGGUCGGACAUCAUGCGGUUAGUGCAAAGGCAUAAGCCAGCUUGACUGCGAGAGUGACGGCUCGAGCAGGUACGAAAGUAGGUCUUAGUGAUCCGGUGGUUCUGAAUGGAAGGGCCAUCGCUCAACGGAUAAAAGGUACUCCGGGGAUAACAGGCUGAUACCGCCCAAGAGUUCAUAUCGACGGCGGUGUUUGGCACCUCGAUGUCGGCUCAUCACAUCCUGGGGCUGAAGUAGGUCCCAAGGGUACGGCUGUUCGCCGUUUAAAGUGGUACGCGAGCUGGGUUUAGAACGUCGUGAGACAGUUCGGUCCCUAUCUGCCGUGGGCGUUGGAAGAUUGAAAGGGGCUGCUCCUAGUACGAGAGGACCGGAGUGGACGCACCACUGGUGUUCGGGUUGUCAUGCCAAUGGCAUUGCCCGGUAGCUAAGUGCGGAAGAGAUAACCGCUGAAAGCAUCUAAGCGGGAAACUUGCCUUGAGAUGAGUCUUCCCUGACCCUUUAAGGGUCCUAAAGGAACGUUUAAGACUAAGACGUUGAUAGGUUGGGUGUGUAAGCAUAGCGAUAUGUUGAGCUAACCAAUACUAAUGAACCGUGAGGCUUAACCUG